UACGGGGGGAGCAAGCGUUGUUCGGAUUUACUGGGCGUAAAGGGCGCGUAGGCGGUCAGCACAAGUCAGUUGUGAAAUCUCCGGGCUUAACUCGGAAAGGUCAACUGAUACUGUGCGACUAGAGUGCAGAAGGGGCAACUGGAAUUCUCGGUGUAGCGGUGAAAUGCGUAGAGAUAUGGAGGAACACCAGUGGCGAAGGCGGCUUCCUGGUCUGUAACUGACACUGAGGCGCGAAAGCGUGGGGAGCAAACAGG
rnacentral:rRNA from 1 species